UGCAGUUCUGCCCUUCUGCCUCCGUGGGGAGAGCGGGGAGUUUGGUCACAGGCUCCUCACUGCUGAGACGGAGGGUGGGCCCUUGAGCUGGACUGGGGGUCUCCUUGGCAGCGGGAUGGGCUUCAGUGAGGAAGCAUCUUCGCAGUGCCCACCACGGAGCUCAGGCUGAAGGCAGCGGCACGUGGGAAGAAGGGGCCUUUGGCCCCUCCAUGGCACUGGGGAGUCUGGAGGGAACAGGAAAGCAAACAGAGCAGCAGGAGAUGCUCUGCAGCGUGUGGAGGCCUUAAGAGCCCAACUUUGGGCCGGGGACCUCUGCAAACUGCUGGGAAGCAGCAGGAAGUUCUGCCGGCAGUUCCUCGGGAAGCUCCUUUGGAAGCCCUGGCCAUGCUCCUUGUGCCUUUCUCCCAUCAAAUGCCUUUCUCUUCCAGGCAGCAUUAGCAAGACCUGCAGAUGAGCUCCUGUCUCUGGGGAACUCCCCGGUUUCGCCCAAGCAGACGAGGCAGGAGCUGAACGUCAAAAUUGCUCAGGCGUCUGCCAGGAAGGAGCGCAUUCUACAAGCGGUGGGGGACGUCCUUGACGACAAUGGGAUCCAGGGGGAGAAGAGAGAGGAAAUUCUGCAGCUGGCCAGAGAUGCAAUCAAGAAAGUUACUGAAAAUUACACCUGGAUGCCCAACUGGGCUCUGACAACCAUUGGAGCCACUGUUGACGCAGAGAGGACAUCCAAGAGUUACGGUGGGAAAGGCUGGAAGAACCGCUGGCUUUCUCCGCUCUUGACUUCUGCAAAGCCUCCUGAGACUCUCUUGCAGGUAUGGCAAGAGAAAUGGUGACUGUGGGUUCACGCCCUUGCUUUCUGGUUGCAGGAGAAAGUGCACAGCAGUUUCCUUUGGCCCGGCGGCAUUGCUCAGCCCACGCUCUUCCCCCCAUCAUUGACACC